rnacentral:rRNA from 1 species
AACGAACGCUGGCGGCAUGCCUAACACAUGCAAGUCGAACGAGACCUUCGGGUCUAGUGGCGCACGGGUGCGUAACGCGUGGGAACCUGCCCUUAGGUUCGGAAUAACUCCCCGAAAGGGGUGCUAAUACCGGAUAAUGUCUUCGGACCAAAGAUUUAUCGCCUUUGGAUGGGCCCGCGUUGGAUUAGCUAGUUGGUAGGGUAAAAGCCUACCAAGGCGACGAUCCAUAGCUGGUCUGAGAGGAUGAUCAGCCACACUGGGACUGAGGACACGCCCCGACUUCCACCGGGAGCAGGCAUGGGGGAUAUUGGGACAUGGGCCAAAGCCCGAACCCGCCAUGGCGGGUGAAGGAUGAAAGGCCUAGGGGUGGAAAACCUUUUUAACCCGGGAGAAAAUUACCAUAACCGGAGGAAAAGGCCCCGCCAACCUCCUG